UACAGAGAUCUCGAGCGUUGAUCGGAGUUACUGGGCUUAAAGGGUGCGUAGGCGGAAAUAUAAGUGCCUUGUGAAAUCCCACCGCUCAACGGUGGAACUGCAGGGCAUACUGUGUUUCUUGAGGGCAGUAGAGGUUGCCGGAACUGUAGGUGUAGCGGUGAAAUGCGUAGAUAUCUACAGGAACGCCGAUGGUGAAGACAGGCAACUGGGCUGCUUCUGACGCUGAGGCACGAAAGCGUGGGGAUCAAACAGG
rnacentral:rRNA from 1 species